rnacentral:rRNA from 1 species
GACGUAGGGCGCGAGCGUUGUCCGGAUUAUUGGGCGUAAAGAGCUCGUAGGUGGUUUGUCGCGUUGGUUCGUGAAAUCUCACGGCUUAACUGUGAGCGUGCGAGCGAUACGGGCAGACUGGAGUACUGCAGGGGAGACUGGAAUUCCUGGUGUAGCGGUGGAAUGCGCAGAGUAUCAGGAGGAACACCGGUGGCGAAGGCGGGCUCUGGGCAGUAACUGACGCUGGAGGAGCGAAAGCGUGGGGAGCGAACAGG